AAGACUUUAAGUUAAACAAACUAAAAAUCUUCAAAAUUUUAAAUAAAAAAUUUUUUUAAGUCUUA
rnacentral:tRNA from 1 species